rnacentral:rRNA from 1 species
CAGCCGCCGCGGUAAUACGGAGGGUGCAAGCGUUAUCCGGAUUCACUGGGUUUAAAGGGUGCGUAGGCGGAUCUGUAAGUCAGCGGUGAAAUCUCCAGGCUUAACCUGGAAACUGCCGUUGAUACUAUAGGUCUUGAAUUUUGUGGAGGUUAGCGGAAUAUGUCAUGUAGCGGUGAAAUGCAUAGAUAUGACAUAGAACACCAAUUGCGAAGGCAGCUGGCUACACAACUAUUGACGCUGAGGCACGAAAGCGUGGGGAUCAAACAGGAUUAGAUACCCCAGUAGUCCCUGUCUCUUAUAC